CUGACAUGUUCAGGAAGUAUAAUUCAUACUUUUAAAUUGACGUAAUAUCUUGGACGUGUUCAUCUCAACUAUACCAAUAUGACGCUUGUAUAACACGUAUCGUUCAAUAAUCCGUUGCAGGAAAGAUCACAACAAAAAUGGAGCGAGAUCGGUUUGACUUGUGACAAAUUUCAAUGAAACUCGCAGCAAGAUGUUUGCGCAGAGAAAAAUCGAUCCAGAGCUAGAGAAGCUCAGGAAUGAAGUGGACGGACCGCCAAACUUGGAUACCGUCACUUUGAAUAUCCAGAGAAAAUCGUCGCGUAUUCAUGCCGCGUUUUUAUUCGAGCAUAUUGGCAAGCCUAUGCUGCAAAAACUUUGUUUGCUACUGAGUUCUACGGCAACAGGCAAGAUUUAUAACGGAUGGCAAGAGUUUGCAGCACACAUGGGUUUAACAAUGGAGCAAAUACGUUGUAUAGACUACGACUUCAAAGGACUUCAGGAUCCAACGUAUUAUGUGCUUUUGACCUUUGUGCAGUCCUCAGAUUCAACAAUGGAUAAAAUUCUGAGUGCUUUACAAAAGAUAGAGCGGUUCGAUGUCAUAUGUGAGAUUAAGGAUUACGUACAUAAUUUAGUCAGUGCUGUGUCACAAGACGCCAUCGAUGAAUUGGAAAUAAUCCAUCCAGCACACAUACCAAGAGCACCAUUAGUACUGAGUCCAAUAUUAACAAAACAAGGCAGGGCUGGAGUUGCAAAAAGUGAAUCAAAAAACACACCACAGGAUAAUCAACAGAAGCAUACCAAACAAAGGUACAGCUGUAUAGUUAUGCUGACUUUCGCAAGAGACGGUUUAGCAAUUGCUGAAUGUAUCGCGAAGAUAUUCCGAUCCAAGCAGCCGCCGAUCGGCGUGCUUAUAUUGCAAGAACAAGAGAAAGGCGUUUAUAGUCGUGCUGAAGAGUUUAUAGAUGAUUGCUUUAGACAGGUCGAUUAUAUUAUACCAAUACUAACCAAAGGAUACAUUGAGACAGUAAAUAAUAUCAUGAAAGCAGGCGAAAAGAUACACACCAAUUUAGACAUGAAGUACUUAAAGUACAUAUAUUCUUUGUUGAGGUACGAGUACAUGACAAACGAGUGCUGCAACAAUCGCGUAAGAUGCAUCGUGCCUGAUAAGGAUGUUUAUACUGUCGUUCGAGCGAAUCUACAUCCCACGCUACAAGCAUGGUUUCGCGAGAGUGAUAUCGACGAUUUCGUGAACAAUAUUCUUUUGCAUAAAUUUUGACAUGAAACUCGAAGAUGCUUGGAAUGGUUUCGAUUAGACUAACAGAAUAAUCUCAACUCAUAUGACCAUUAUCAUUUAAUUUCUACUACAAUAAUUCAGCAAAUAUAUAAUCUCAAUCCGAGAAAUAAUAAAGUUACUUACUUUUCUCUGAAGUAA